rnacentral:lncRNA from 1 species
CAGGGUUUGUGAGGGGGAGAGAGGUGAGAUGUGGAUUGCAAGAAGUAGUCUGUGGCCGAUUAUAUCAGGCUUUGGAGGUUUUUUAUAAGGAUCUGGCUUUUAUCCUAAAUAAGCUAGGGAGCCAAUGAAGGGUUUUGAGCAGAGAAGUGUCAUGAUCUAAAUCAUAUGUUUAAAGCAUCAGACUGGCUGCUGUGUUGAGAAUAAACUGGUGGGCUAAGGCAGCAGGAGGGAGACCAGCUAGGAGGUGAUUGCAGGAAGUCAAGCAAGUGAUAAUGGGCUUGUACCCAGCUAGUGGGGUUCCAGUUAGUGAUGUUGAAAGUGUUGAAAAGUGUUCCGUUUCUGCUUUUUUUUAAAUGUGAAACCAACAGGACAUGCCAGUGAUUAUAAAGCAUAUGAUGAUGAUAUAGGAUAAAGGAAGAGAGGAGUUAAUUAAAUAUGACACUGAUGUUUUUAUCCUGAACAAAUGGAAGGAAGGAAUUGCUGAAAUAGAGACGUCUCUGAAGAGCAGAAGCUGUUUUGAACAUUGCAGUUUGAAAUACCUAUUAGACCUCUGCUUGGAGAUCCCAAACAGGAAAAAUCAGUGGUUAUGGUCAGAAAGUGGGAAGCUUGAAGUUGAGAUUAUCAAGUUAAUAUCAGUGCAGUCAUUGGUAAUGAUAAGUUCUAGGAUCUAAGCAAUGGGAAGAAAGAAGUUGGCUGAAGAAAUGAUGGAAAUUAAUUAUAUAAUUGAAGAAAAAGAAGUCAAGGCACUGAGAGCAUGUUCAGUUGGCAGAAAUUCCAUGACAGCAUCUACAAGGGCAUAUUGGAGAGAGUGAGGGUAAGCUUGGAGUUUUCGCUCGUUGAACUUGUUCUCGUGAGCCUAUGAAUCUGGAGAAUCUUAUCCUUCUGUUCUAGGGAAGUUUUAAAAUCCUUUCUUUUAUAAUUUCUCCCCUCUGUUUUCUACAUUUUGUCUUUCUUAAAGUCCUGUUAGUAAAUGAUGGUCUCCUAGUUCAAUUACCUGAUUUACUUGACUCUUCCAUUUUUCCAUCCCUUUGUCUUUUUACUUAGUUUCUUGAAGACUUACCUUCCAGCCCUUUUAUUGAAUCUGUUAUUUCUGUUACCCUAUUUUCAUUUACCAAGAAUGAUUUCUUAUGCUCUACAUACUCCUUUUUUCAUGUAACCACACAUUCUUAUUUUGCAGAUGUAACAUUUUAUCUUUUUUUUGAGGUCAAUAAUAUGUUUAAGUGUUCUUUUCACUGCACUUUUUGUUACUCCAAGUUGCCUUUAUUCAUUUAUUUGUUUAUUUUAAUCUUUAAUAUUUUAUGUUGGAGACUUUCCUCACAUGUCUGGUGAUACUUGAUUGUUCACACUUAAGAGUGAGGCACUUAAAAAGCAAAUGGGAAGCUUUGUGUGUAUUUGCAGUGUUUGUCAAUUGCUACUGUUUACUGGAGAGCAAUCAGUCAGGCACCUGGUCAUUUCACUGGGAGACUUAAAAAUGUCAGUAUAUAAGUCUUUUCUCCAAUCAGUUGGUUUUGUCAAAGGGGACUCUUCCAAUUCCCUGCCUAGGGAAUAUAAAUCUAGUUGCCAGUGCCCUAACUGCAAGUGAGGGAAAAAGGGUGGGAGUCUCACUAAUUAGUAUAUGGCAUGUAGACUUGACCUUGAUCAUCCUUUUUCAGCCUUACUCCUAUCCUCUACAAAACAUGGUAUCAUUGGGUCUGAAAAUCCCUGGCUCUAUUUCCCUAGAAAUUAAACCAGUUGCCUGCUGGGCUGGUUGGUGUACAGAAGAGGAGAAGGAUUCUGAGGGGUCAUCUCCAAUCCCAUUUUUUUUCAGCCCCAGCCUGCAUCCCUUUCUACAGAAGUAACAACAAUUUCCAGUUUCUGAGCCUUUCCAGGGUUGUACAGUAGGUAUUCAUUUGCUUUUUGAUAUUUUCCACAGCAAAGCAAACUUUCUUGCUGCUCUGUUAACUUCGUUACCACUCACCCGUCUGCCUUCUGUCUUCCAACAUUUUGUUGCUAGCUCUUGUCUGCUGUUGCCUCUUCUGUUCUCUUUAUCCUUCCAGGUUUUAUAAGAUUGUUUUUAUUCCUUUUCAGUCAUUUCAGAGAGGCUUCAGGAUGGAGUUGUGAUAAACGCAUGUGUUCAGUCUACAAUGUUUAACAGGGAGUGCCUCUUGAUUUUUUCAUGUGAAUUACUGAGGAGUAGGUAGUAGACUAUCUUGAUGCCCUUCCUCAUGUCCCUUUGACUCUGAGUUGACCUGCAGCUGCAGUGAACACUUCCUAAGGAUGCUGAUGUCUUCCCCUAUCAAGCACUUGCCUCAUUCUGCUUCUCCGAGGAUUUCCUCCAGUACACCAAGAGCUUGCCCGACACUCACAAGGUAUCCUGGAACUGCUGGGGACUGAAAACCCCUCAACCCAUGAAGAAUGAGGAUCAGUGGAUUAAUAGCAACUGUCCCAUACCUUGGUGGGACUAUUAUAAGGCAUUCUGGUUGGUUCCUCAGAGGUCCCAAAUGGGAUUGAACCAAAGUUGCCCACAGUAAAAACUCAUUCACCAACUCAAUUUUCAUUUCACCCCUCUCAAUUUGCACACUCACUCACUUGUUCUACCUGGGAUACUCUCCAAGAUAAACUCCUGUAUCCAAAGCUUUGUCUCAAGGUCUCAUUUGGGAGGAACUCAAACUAAGAUAAUAGGUACUGGAAGUGACUACAGAAAGUAUAUUAUCAAUGGUAUGGAGGCAACAAAAACCCCAUUAAUGGUGGUGAGUAAGGUGGUGACAAACCCUGGCACUUUGAAGAAUUUCAUUACCCACAAUUGACCCAUGGUGUACUUGGAUGAGGUAAAAAUGAAAGGAGACGCUAACCUUAUGCAAUAGUGCUAACUCCUGAAAGAUAUAGGGCUGUGAUAAUCACAGGAAUUGAAGAGUUGUCUUGUUCUUGUUAACUCCCCUAGAAGAAUUGGGAAAAAAGAAAGAUAGGUUUACAACAUCCAACUACCCAUUCAGAGCAUAGCAAUGAAAGCCAGAAGGUCUCCUUGGGAGAAUCUGAAGAGACCCCCAUUUCCUGCAACCAGAGGGCAGGCUGUUCUAAAAAAAUGACAUUCAGGGGUUCACUGCAAGAGGAAUUGAACUACAGAGCAGACUGAAGACACAGUCCAGGCAGGCCUCUCAUGCAAAAGUCAAAGCCCUAGAGGAAGGAAAUGGUCCUUAAAAACUACUGGGAUGCAGGCAGGCAUCUGGAUAGAUGUGCUAGAUAACCUUGAACCCCUAGAUUCCCUGAACAACCCAGGCUAGCAGGAGUAUCCUGCACCCUGUUACUUGAACAGAACAGCUUCCCUUUGCCUAGAGACUCUACACAGUCCUCCUCUGAAGCAGACACCUCCAAGAUUACUUCAAGGUCUGCUACUUCCUGCCCUCAUUGCCUCUAUUCCAAAAACUGGAAACAAGUCUCAGCAUGCCCUGAGCAGGGUAGCACAUUUCUUGCUGUGAGAGAUAUGACAGAUUGUAUUUUCUAAAGAAGGCUGCAACCAUGUCUCUCAUCCCAAAUGCUCUUCUACAAUGCAAUCUUGUCACUCCUCUACCAAGAGAUGAAACCUAAUUUCAAUGCCCUUGAAUCUAAGCUGGACUUUACUUGCUUUGACCUGUAAUGUACAGAAGUGACACUGUGUGAUUCUUACAGCUGAGUCAUAAAAGGUGAUGCAGCUUCUGCCUUGUUCCUGGGGACAUAUGCCUCUGUGAGAUUGAGCUACUAAAUAACAAGACCACCUACCUUGAGGCUGCCAUGCUGGAAGAAAGCAAAGCCACAUGAAGAGCAAGUAAGCUGGUUGCUUUAGCAAGAUCCUUCAUAUUGAUAGUGAAUGUGCACUUCUGUCUUUCUCUUGUGAAUGCAAACCACUUUUUCAAUAGUCUCACGUUAAGUGCCAAAGAUUGUUGUUUUUGUUGAAUGCAUUCUCUUUAUCAUUCACUACCUGGCCCUAGGAAUUUGUUCAAUGAUCCUCAUUUCUGUUACAAUAUAGUCUUCAGUGACCUUGAUCAUCUUCACAUUCUAUAGAACAUCAUCCUGGCCCAUUAUAUUAAUGACAGAAUAAUAAUUGAACUUGGUUUUUAGGAAGGAGCAAGUAUACUGGUUUUAAAUACUUCAUGCUGAAGGAAUGAGAGAUAAGCCCUACAAAGUUUUGGAAGUCUGCCACAUCAGGGAAUAUUUUAGGGGCCCAAAGAUCCAGGGGUAUGUUGAGACACCCUACUCAAAAGAAUACUUUACAUUUCCUACCACUAAGACAGAGGCACAGCACUUGGUGAGCUGCUUUGAAUUCCUGAGGCAAAAAAAUAACAAUAAUAAAUACUACCCAUGAGAAUAAUGCUCUGAUCUAUUGUAUCAGAAGACUAUUGACUUUGCGGGGGUCUGAGAGAGUAUCUGAAUAGCCUUUUAAAGACUUAAAAAGGCAUUGGCUUAGGAAUUGCACCUUGCAUGGCUAGGUCAUUGUCCUCGAGGAUACAGCAUAUUUGUUGAACCAGUGAUCACUAUAUGCAAUCACUGUGCUGUUUUCCCAGCAUUUGGAAUACACAGGAAUGAUAAUUAAAGGAUACAAGUAGGACUGACUUAAACACACUCCCUUUCACCCAUUAGUGGAAAUUAUGUUUUUAAUUCUUACAACUUUAGGCUCUUCCUGAUUAAAAGCCUUGGUCUCAAGGUGUGUGUACAGACGGAGACAGUAAGUGUUCCACUGCAUCAAUGCAGUGCCAUCUGAGGAUUUGGGCAUCUCCAUACUGACAGGUCAGCAGGCAAAAAUGGGAGUACUAUACUGGCAGGGACACCUGACUGAUUAUCUUGAAGAGUCGGAGUUGCUGCUACAUAAUGGGCCCAGGGAGGAAGAUGUCUAGAACUUGGGGGAAUCACUCAGGCCCCCCUUAGUGCUUCUUUGUCUGGCGAUAAUAGCAGAGAAGCAAUUGAAGUAGCCAUGUCCUCACAAGGGCAAGGUAAUCAAGGCCCAGCCACUCAGAGAUGAAGGUCUGGUCAUACACUGAGCAAGCAAUGAUGACUAGUGGAAGUGCUAGCCAAGGAUUCGGGAAAUCUAGAAGAAGUGGAAUUGGAGAGAGAUGAUGAGUAUAGAUUAUAGCCUUGGGACCAGCUGCAGCAGUGAAGAUUGUGACUUGUUCCACAUAUUCUUCUAUUUUCAGUCAUUUUUGGAGAUUGCAGCCAGCUACAACUCUGAAAUGUCAGUAACAGAGCAAACUAAGGGUGGGCAUGAGAGGAUCUGCUGAGAGCAAGGAAUGAACAUGGUAGUCACUAAUGAUACACUGCCCAUGUUCCCCGGCUCACCUGUUAGCUCCCCGGCAGCUUGCAAACAUGUCUAUACACACUGCCAUCUUCCUACCACGAGUGCCAUAACUCUCUGCUUCUCUGCUGAGGCCCUUCUCAGCUCACAGUGCGAGUAGCCUGCAAGUGCUAAGGGCAUAAUGCCUCCAAGGUCAACUUUAAUCAACGAGGUUCAAGAGUCAGAAGAGUGAAUUCCUUCUGAGAUACAUUCUUUCUGGUUUCUCAGAGGCUCCCCAGAGGAAGUAGGCCCCAGUUGCUUAGGAAAAAUGGAACCUACUUAUUAAGGCACCCCCUUUUUACUUUUCUCCUUUCUUUCUCUCCCUUUCCCCACUCCAUUCCGUGAAGUUCCUGGGAUCACCAAAUAAACUAUCUGUAAUCAAAUCUUUAUCUCACUCUGCAUUCUGGGGAACCCAAACAAAGAUGGGUUGUCUCAUGGCUGCAAGAUGGCCAUAGGAGCUCCAGCUGUGGCACCUGUGUUCUGGGCAAGAAGAAGAAGAAGAAGAAAGAAUGGGUGCAAAAGAGCACAUUGUGGCUCUUUAAAAGGAAUCAACCCCUUUUAAGAAGCAUUUUAAAUUAGCAUUGGCAAUAAUCUAACCACAUAGCCACCUCUGUCCACAAGGCAGGCUACGAAAUGUAGAUUUUUAGUAUGGUACAUUGCCUCCCCUAACAAAAUCAGGUUUCUCUUAGUGAGGAAGAAGGGGAGAAAUUGAUUGGGGUAAGCAACUACAAGCCUGUGUACAGGCUUCAGUGACAACCAAAUUAUAAAGAGGGGGAUUUUGUAACUAUAUAUUUAAAGAUCAACAUUAUGCCACAAUAAACAGUCCUUAACUGUUCAAGGCAAUAUAAAUAGACAUACCACAAACAUUUUAUAAGUCUUCAAAGCUAACUCGUUAAAAAAGAGAGAAAGAAAACAGCCAUAAAAAUUAAAAACCUAAAAACAAUCAGUUUCAGUAUGAUUGGGUUUGUAGGACAACUCAGUAAAUUUAGUUUUAAAAAAAAUUCUAGUUUAAGAAGAACUUCAGAAGGGAUAUAAACUACCCCCUCUUUGAAAUUGUAUGCAUAAUUUAUGUGGUUGACUAUUUUUCUGAUUAGAUUUCACAUAGAUCCUCAAAGGAGUAGGUGACCCAGAAAAGGUUAAUAACAUGGAUCUAGGUGUUGUGCCCAUUUGGAAAACGCCACACAGCUAGUCUAACUGAACUCAGAGAGGAAUUGGGAGUUUGGAUGUCACACAUAUUCUCAGGCCAACAGAAAUUCAAGGAUGUGACAUUGCCUAAGGUAGUUAAGAAAAGUUGAGGGCACAGCCAGAGUCCAGGGACUGGUCAAAGACAUGCAUUAAACAGCAAAAUGCAAAGGCUUUUGGCCUCUGAAGGAGUUGGAAUGAACUUUGUGUGCUGGCAAGCCCCACACAGACCCAGCUACGGGGCUGUCCUUGGAAUAAGUGAAAUCCUAGAGAGGGCAGUGUUUCAUUUUGAGUCUGAGAAGCAAGAAAAGAACAAUAUGGCCCAUAUGUGUUGACAUAUCUACCAACACAGAUAUUUGGCAUUUAGUAUUAAAACUGUUUAUCAAGCCCCUAAUGUUGAUGAUUAACAAACAGAAGCCUAAUGUACUGUGUUACUCUAUUGAUACAUGGGGGGAAGAGGACUCUAAUCCAUCCAUCUCAUGAAUUUACCAACACUGGUUUAAGAGGACUUAGAGAUACCUGGGGACUAGAACAAAGUAAAUAUGAUUAUUUCAUCAAAAGCGUCCCAAAACAAAAAAUUAAAGUGGUGUCGUUGUGACACAGUGGUUACCUGGAUUUUAAGAUACCUGGGAUUGUAUUUGCCAGGG